GACGAACGCUGGAGGCGUGCUUAACACAUGCAAGUCGAACGAUGAAAUGGAGCUUGCUCCAUGGGUUAGUGGCGAACGGGUGAGUAACACGUGAAUAACCUGCCCUUAAUUUUGGAAUAACCAGGGAAACCUGGGCUAAUACCGGAUAAGUAAACCUGUGGCAUCACAUGGUUUUGGAAAGUUUUUCGAUUAAGGAUGGAUUCGCGGCCUAUCAGCUUGUUGGUGAGGUAAUGGCUCACCAAGGCGACGACGGGUAGCCGGCCUGAGAGGGUGAACGGCCACACUGGGACUGAGACACGGCCCAGACUCCUACGGGAGGCAGCAGUGGGGAAUAUUGCGCAAUGGACGAAAGUCUGACGCAGCGACGCCUCGUGAGGGACGAAGGUCUUCGGAUUGUAAACCUCUUUCAGCAGGGACGAAGCGAAAGUGACGGUACCUGCAGAAGAAGCACCGGCUAACUAUGUGCCAGCCGCCGCCGUAA
rnacentral:rRNA from 1 species